rnacentral:lncRNA from 1 species
GAAGUCCGAGCAAAGAUGGGAAGCUUUGUUUUCAAAUAUAAUGGGAAGGGUGUGUGGAAACAGACCUGGCAAAACAAAGGCAGAUUGAUGUUUCUGUUUGUGAUACCAGUGGAGAGAGGAGGGCACAAGCAGGCUGGAGUGCUAUGGCACAGUCUCAGCUCACUGCAAACUCUGCCUCCCGGGCUCAAGCAAUUCUCCUGCCUCAGCCUCCCGAGCAGCUGGGAUUACAGUUUGCCUCAACAGAACGUAAGCCCAAGCAGGCCCGUACCGAGAACUCAAUAGACACAAGCAUGGGAGGAAUGAGGGACUCCGGAGGCAAACGUUGGUGGAGGCGCUUGGACGAGGCACUGCAGCCAGCAGCGAGCCAGGGAAGGCUCCGAGCAGAAGAGGGGCCUGAGGGAAGGCACACAGGGGCGCUCAGAGGGAGCCCAGAGUCAGACACAGGAAAAAACCAGCUCAGCCCAGCCUUCUG